rnacentral:rRNA from 1 species
AGUGAACGCUGGCGGUAGGCCUAACGCAUGCAAGUCGAACGGCAGCACAGUAAGAGCUUGCUCUUACGGGUGGCGAGUGGCGGACGGGUGAGGAAUACAUCGGAAUCUACUUUUUCGUGGGGGAUAACGUAGGGAAACUUACGCUAAUACCGCAUACGACCUACGGGUGAAAGCAGGGGAUCUUCGGACCUUACGCGAUUGAAUGAGCCGAUGUCGGAUUAGCUAGUUGGCGGGGUAAAGGCCCACCAAGGCGACGAUCCGUAGCUGGUCUGAGAGGAUGAUCAGCCACACUGGAACUGAGACACGGUCCAGACUCCUACGGGAGGCAGCAGUGGGGAAUAUUGGACAAUGGGCGCAAGCCUGAUCCAGCCAUACCGCGUGGGUGAAGAAGGCCUUCGGGUUGUAAAGCCCUUUUGUUGGGAAAGAAAAGCAGCAGGUUAAUACCCCGCUGUUCUGACGGUACCCAAAGAAUAAGCACCGGCUAACUUCGUG